rnacentral:sRNA from 1 species
UUCUUGGACUGAUAGA